rnacentral:rRNA from 1 species
UACGGAAGGUGCAAGCGUUAAUCGGAAUUACUGGGCGUAAAGCGUGCGCAGGCGGCUUUUUAAGUCGGAUGUGAAAGCCCCGGGCUUAACCUGGGAAUUGCAUUCGAUACUGGAAGGCUAGAAUCUAAUAGAGGUCAGCGGAAUUCCUGGUGUAGCGGUGAAAUGCGUAGAUAUCAGGAGGAACAUCAGUGGCGAAGGCGGCUGACUGGAUUAAGAUUGACGCUCAGGCACGAAAGCGUGGGGAGCAAACAGG